rnacentral:rRNA from 1 species
UGAACGCUGGCGGCGUGCUUAACACAUGCAAGUCGAACGAGGAACACUGAUGAAGUUUCGGAUGGAAUCGGCAUUCCGAGUGGCGGACGGGUGAGUAACGCGUGGGUAACCUGCCCUGUACAGGGGGAUAACAGUUGGAAACGACUGUUAAUACCGCAUAAGACCACAGCACCGCAUGGUGCAGGGGUAAAAACUCCGGUGGUACAGGAUGGACCCGCGUCCAAUUAGCUAGUUGGUGAGGUAACGGCCCACCAAGGCGACGAUUGGUAGCCGAUCUGAGAGGAUGACCGGCCACAUUGGGACUGAGACACGGCCCAAACUCCUACGGGAGGCAGCAGUGGGGAAUAUUGCACAAUGGGGGAAACCCUGAUGCAAGCGACGCCGCGUGAGUGAUGAAGUAUUUCGGUAUGUAAAGCUCUAUCAGCAGGGAAGAAAAUGACGGUACCUGAGUAAGAAGCCCCGGCUAACUACGUGCCAGCCGCGGC